rnacentral:rRNA from 1 species
AUUGAACGCUGGCGGCAUGCUUUACACAUGCAAGUCGAACGGUAACAGGCCGCAAGGUGCUGACGAGUGGCGAACGGGUGAGUAAUGCAUCGGAACGUGCCCAGUCGUGGGGGAUAACGCAGCGAAAGCUGUGCUAAUACCGCAUACGAUCUGUGGAUGAAAGCGGGGGACCGUAAGGCCUCGCGCGAUUGGAGCGGCCGAUGUCAGAUUAGGUAGUUGGUGGGGUAAAGGCUCACCAAGCCGACGAUCUGUAGCUGGUCUGAGAGGACGACCAGCCACACUGGGACUGAGACACGGCCCAGACUCCUACGGGAGGCAGCAGUGGGGAAUUUUGGACAAUGGGCGCAAGCCUGAUCCAGCAAUGCCGCGUGCAGGAAGAAGGCCUUCGGGUUGUAAACUGCUUUUGCACGGAACGAAACGGUCCGGGUUAAUACCCUGGGCUAAUGACGGUACCGUAAGAAUAAGCACCGGCUAACUACGUGCCAGCCGCCGCCGUAAGAC